GAUACCCUAGUAUAAAUUUUUAUUGAUUAUUAUGUUAGAAAUUUAAAUUUUUUGGCGGUUAAUUAUUUUUUAGAGGAGCUUGUUGUAUAGAAAUUACUCUUUAUAUUUUAAUAAUUUAAGUUUAUUUAUCUCCGUUAUAAAGUAAGAACUUAAGAAGUUUUAGCUUUUACUUCAGGUCAAGAUGUAGCAAUAAUUUUAAUAAAUUAGCUACAAUAAUGGGAUUAUAGUUUAUUAUAGGAAGAGAUAAGAUUAAAGUGAAUUUAAUUGUAAUAGGAUUUAAAAUGAUAGGAUGAAUUAGUAUAAUUUAUGUACAUAUUGCCCGUCACUUCUUUUGGGAAAAGAGAAUAAGUCGUAACAAAGUA
rnacentral:rRNA from 1 species